rnacentral:tRNA from 1 species
GCCUUCGUGGUGGAGUGGUGAGCACGCUCGGCGCAAAACCGAAAAGUCCGUGGUUCGAUUCCCGGCGAAGGCA